rnacentral:rRNA from 1 species
UACGUAGGGUGCAAGCGUUACUCGGAAUUACUGGGCGUAAAGCGUGCGCAGGCGGUGAUGUAAGUCAGAUGUGAAAUCCCCGGGCUCAACCUGGGAACUGCAUUUGUGACUGCAUCGCUGGAGUGCGGCAGAGGGGGAUGGAAUUCCGCGUGUAGCAGUGAAAUGCGUAGAUAUGCGGAGGAACACCGAUGGCGAAGGCAAUCCCCUGGGCCGGCACUGACGCUCAUGCACGAAAGCGUGGGGAGCAAACAGG